UCCGGAGGGUGCAAGCGUUAUCCGGAUUCACUGGGUUUAAAGGGUGCGUAGGCGGUCAGGUAAGUCAGUGGUGAAAUCUCCGAGCUUAACUCGGAAACUGCCAUUGAUACUAUUUGUCUUGAAUAUUGUGGAGGUAAGCGGAAUAUGUCAUGUAGCGGUGAAAUGCUUAGAUAUGACAUAGAACACCAAUUGCGAAGGCAGCUUACUACACAAUGAUUGACGCUGAGGCACGAAAGCGUGGGGAUCAAACAGG
rnacentral:rRNA from 1 species